UUGGCCUUUAAACUGGUCCUGUGAGGCUAGUAAGGCGAAGAGGGAUUUACGUAAACAAGAGAGAAAGCCUUUCUCCGCCUGAUGGGAAAGGCUUUUUUGAU
rfam:Thermoanaerobacter pseudethanolicus ATCC 33223, complete genome.